AAGGUCAGACAACCUUCCCAUACUUCGGCAAGCUCAUCAGCAAUGCCUUUCCUUUUCUGCUUAGAACUGAGUCCUCGCACAGCUCGGCCCUUUUCCCCUUUUCUUCCUUUCCUCCGUUGUGGAUUCAAAGCAGUGCCACUUGUGUCUUACGCUUUUGCGAUUGCUUUUGCUAUUGCUUUUGCAGAUCCUCCUGCGGCAUCGGCACCUUGGGAUGGUAGUUGGCUUACGGGUGAAGGUUUAAACUGGAUGCCUCAUGGAACUCGCCGCCUAUGUGAUGAAUGAUCCUCCGGGGUCUUCGCCGAAUAUCCAUACCUAAUCGGGCAUCCAGAUCAAGAUGUGGGUGUCCAUGGUUGGUUGAGAGAGGAAGUAUAAAGGAAUCUAUCUUUUAUGCACUUAGUAUGUGAAGUCAGGUGCUGUACCUUUUCUUCCUUAUUAGCGGGGUUUACCCCGUGUCAGGUGCUGUGGAACAUAAAUGUAUAUGUGUGAACAGCUGGUCAUACACUCCUGCCUCUAUUAGGAUGAAGGUCUUUCCAAAAGACGGAGACGUCGGGGUGACUAAUAUAGUAUUACCUCAACUAAGCACCUCUAUUAUGUAUUUAUAAACUUACAGUAACUAAUACUGUGUUACCUCUGCUAAAUUUAUAUGUGCAUAAUCGAUCUGCGUGAUUGUGAUUAUUAUUGUUACCAUUUUUUCCAUGUUUUUAAGCCUAUACAUACGUCUACAGGUGGAAAUUUCAUUUUUGAUAUGAGAAAUCAAACAAUCGAUAAAGACAUACAUACCAUUUCCAAAAAGUUACUCGUUACAAUCUUAGUCGGGAUCUGAGGUCCAAUUUAAGAUGGCUGGUGACAAGAAAAAGAGACCGGUUUGUGUUUUGCAGGUUGAAGCCGCUGCGGCGAUUUUCAGUGGUUCGAUUUGCAUGAGCGGGUGUAGGAGGUUCGAGGAUUCGGUGUCCUCUGCCACACGGGUAGACUUUUUUCAUGCUUAGAAUCGUGACAACCGUGACACUUCACACAUGUGCUAAUUCAUUUUUCCUAUGUAUGCUCAAGGUUCUCGUGUGUGCCGAGUUCACAACGACUUGGUUUCAAUUGCGUUGUUUUUGUGUAUAUCUUUGCACUGCGUUUGUUUCUCCCGGCACUCAAAAUCCAGAACUGGGUUCGUCUUAUUCAAGCAUUAUGGUCAUCCAAAUAACCAAUUCGUCUCACAACGUCCGAGGCAUUUCAUAACUAUAUGAAUCGGCGACAGAGAUAAGUAGGGGAUGCAACGCUUUGACUCUCGCUCAUACCUCAUCGAUUCACUCUCAUGGCCAGCGUCAAGGUCACGGCAAGCACCCGUUGCCCGAGAUUCCUCCUCUCAGGAAAGCAAAGAGCAUUUCAAACCACCAAAAAUGUUAACAAUGCAUUGAGCACGAUUCUAGGAACGCGGCUGGCUGGAGCCUCCACGUACAUGAUGGCAGUUGAUCAGUCAAACUGAAGGUGAUGUUGUCAAGCGGAACCGGUCAAUGUCCACCUCGUUGCGGUGGCGUUGAACUCGGAUAACGCAUUCACUCUUGUUUAUGAUCAUCUCAUCACACCUUCUGUUGUUUCGUCCGGACCCAGCUUCCUCCCUCCCUCCCUCCCUAUUCUUCUGCUCGUUGUCCACACCGGUUUGUUUUAUCAACCCCACCUUCUUUUCUCAAAUUGGCUGACACAGCUUGCUCUGGUUCAUGCUUUGUAUUUCGAACCUGGGUUCAAAGGGUUGCGGUAGCCCAGUUUAGUCAUUCUCCUUCGAAAUCUAAACUCAGAUUACAUACGAUUGCGCACAGCACGCCUGGAAUGAUGCUUGAGGUGUGAGAAAAGGUG
rnacentral:lncRNA from 1 species